rnacentral:rRNA from 1 species
CAGUAGCCGCGGUAAUACAGAGGGUGCGAGCGUUAAUCGGAUUUACUGGGCGUAAAGCGUGCGUAGGCGGCUUCUUAAGUCGGAUGUGAAAUCCCUGAGCUUAACUUAGGAAUUGCAUUCGAUACUGGGAAGCUAGAGUAUGGGAGAGGAUGGUAGAAUUCCAGGUGUAGCGGUGAAAUGCGUAGAGAUCUGGAGGAAUACCGAUGGCGAAGGCAGCCAUCUGGCCUAAUACUGACGCUGAGGUACGAAAGCAUGGGGAGCAAACAGGAUUAGAUACCACUGUAGUCCCUGUCUCUUAUAC